UAGAUAUUUGACCUUUGAGACCCACGGU
rnacentral:sRNA from 1 species